ensembl:lncRNA
GCCUGGCUCCCCAGUGGGUGGGCCUGGCUCCCCAGUGGGUGGGUCUGGCUCCCCAGUGGGUGGGUCUGGCUCCCCAGUGGGUGGGCCUGGCUGCCCAGUGGGUGGGCCUGGCUGCCCAGUGGGUGGGCCUGGCUCCCCAGUGGGUGGGCCUGGCUCCCCAGUGGGUGGGCCUGGCUCCCCAGUGGGUGGGCCUAUGUCCUCCAAGACCCACCCAUGUAUUUCAGUUAACUGAUUUCAUUUUAUGAACUGUAACUCAGUAAAAACUUUGAAAUUGUUGCAUAUUUUUUCAUUAUAUAUAAACAUAUAUUGUUAUGUUACACUUAACCCUCCUGCUGUGUUCCGGUCGAAUUGGACCAAUUUACAAGUUUUCUCUCUGAAAAAUGUAGAUAAUUUAAUCUGAUUGUCAUCUGAACACACAAUACAUUUGGAUGAUUUUCAUUAAACUUUGGGUGUUUUAUUUAACUUUUGUACACCUGUGGUGUUCCCAGUCAAAAAUGACCAGUCAUUAAUAGGUGAGACUACAAUAAGUGUAUAAAAUUAAGUUCAGGCACAUUCACCAGAUGGACACACUUCCUCUCCCAGACCCCCACAUGCAUGUGUGUUUGAACACACACACACACACACACACACACACACACACACACACACACACACACACACACACACACACACACACACACACACACACACACACACACACACACACACACACCUCACUCCCCUUCUUGGCUUCCAUGGCAACCCCCACAGCAACCUUUCGCCAAUAGAAUAUUUCCCCCACAGGGACCACACCUGUUGACGUUCUCACAAACAAGCGCAAAAUUGUUUCAAUAAUACAUAGAACUUUUCUGGCAGCUCUGGUAUAUAAAGCUUUUUUGAGGCCUUGCUCACAAUUCAUUCUGUAGCAGCACAAUGACCAAACGAUAAACUAUAUGAGAGGCUCUUGAUCAUAUCUUUGAUCAUGACACUGGUGAGGAGGGAGAGAGGCCAGAAAACUGACAGUGAAGAUGCAUUAGAGGAGGAAGUGUCAGAAGUUGAAGACAACACAGAAUAUGAUCCAGACCCCGAGACAUCCGAUGUGGAACAUUCCAGUGAUGAGGAAGAGGGCCCUGCUGAGGUUGUUGUUACAUUCCAGUGAUGAGGAAGAGGGCCCUGCUGAGGUUGUUGUUAGAAUCCAGUGAUGAGGAAGAGGACCCUGCUGAGGUUGAUGUUAUAAUCCAGUGAUGAGGAAGAGGGCCCUGCUGAGGUUGUUGUUACAUUCCAGUGAUGAGGAAGAGGGCCCUGCUGAGGUUGUUGUUAGAAUCCAGUGAUGAGGAAGAGGACCCUGCUGAGGUUGUUGUUAGAAUCCAGUGAUGAGGAAGAGGACCCUGCUGAGGUUGUUGUUAUAAUCCAGUGAUGAGGAAGAGGACCCUGCUGAGGUUGUUGUUAUAAUCCAGUGAUGAGGAAGAGGGCCCUGCUGAGGUUGUUGUUAGAAUCCAGUGAUGAGGAAGAGGGCCCUGCUGAGGUUGUUGUUAGAAUCCAGUGAUGAGGAAGAGGGCCCUGCUGAGGUCGUUGUUACAUUCCGGUCAAAGAAUGGGAAUUUGUCCUGGUCUUCAUCCCCACCUGAGAAGAGAGGUCGGCUGACUCGGCUGAAUGUUAUCAGGAUAACCCCAGGGCCAACGAGAUAUGUCAUAUCCCUGACAUAAAAUCCUGCCACUAUUUAAACAUUUGAAAUAGUUUCAAAACAAAUGUCCUUUUUAAACUUUUUUUAGUCUGUGAUAAAUAGCACAAUAUGUUUUAUCUGAGUAUUUGUUAUAGUCAAAAAUAAUCCAUACAUUAUGCUUUUUUUAAAACUAAAAAACGAGUUGUUUGAGCUCAGGUCAAUGAGGCCUACAGGCCAUAAAUAGUUGUAUGAGCUCAGGUCAAUGAGGCCUACAGGACAUAAAUACAUAGAAGUUCAAAACAUGUAAUGUUCACAAGAACUUAAGUUAAUAAAUAGAUCUAAACAACAUUAAGUGAUAAUAUAUGUAUUAUUAUGGAUUUAUAAUCAGCUGUAACGGGGCAGUCAUUUUGGACCAAUUAACAUGAAACGAACACAACAGGAGGGUUAAGUGGCUUGCUUGGCAUUGAGCAGUAAACAAAAAAAAGUAUAACAUUCAUGAUGGUGAAGUUUACGGAGAAAACAAUGUUAGUAAUGGGUAUGAUGGAUGCUGCAGCGGGACUAAGCAGGUUCGCUGGUUGAGUAACCUGCUGGGCCGGUCAGGGAGACCAGGGGGAGACUGCGUUUCCUGCUGUCACGUGAAAGACUGACAAGCGUUGUUGAGUGGUUCUGACCCCAUGACAUGCCCAUACAUGAAAAUCUACUCAAUAUUUACCACUGCAUCAUGUUGCGUUUCUGGAAACACUUUCAACUGAAAAUGGGAUAACUGAAUCAACUAUUUUAUUUUAUUUAGAUUACGCCAAAUGCAUUCGAAUGUAAAACGUUUAGUUCUAUAGACUUGUAGCCGCAAUGAUCUGAAUGAAAAUUGCAAUGAAAAUGUACAUUUCAUGGCCCAAAACUAUUAUAUUUUAAUCUAACGUCAGUGUAAUAAACAACAAAUAGGGCUGGAAAUUAGUGAAAGGGCCUUGUCGUAUACACCACGUUAAUUGAGACAUAUUUUACAUAACCUGGAGAUAUGUUGAGGUGCGCUCGACGCAUCAGCUGUGUCGCAUAGAAAAUACUGAAGUAAAUACAAGGAAAAUGUCAUUAACAUCUCUAAGAAAAAUGAACAGCUGACCACAUGAUAUUCUCCGUAAUGUGGGCCUAUGAGCUUUGGGAAAUUUCGUGACCACCACCGAACUAAAUUUUACAACAUAAACUCAACUUUUUGAUGACACCUUCCCAGUGGGUGUUUUGCCUAGAUGAGGUUUGCACCCGUAGCGCGAAA